AAAUCUAGCCAAAAGUGGAGGAAAAUUGUUUGUGGUACGCUGGUGAUGGAACAACUGUGAAUGCUUGGGAUAUUAGAUGGAUUGACCAAGAUGUUACAAUAGCUAAUAUGGAUAUUCAUAUUCACAUGAAUCUCAAAACAACAAGAGUAGUGGAUCUCACGAGUGAAGAUGGUGAUUUGAAGAAAUGGAUUUAUAUCAAUAUGCAAAACAAUAUGGGGUGGAAUAAUAAUGAUGAUUUGAAGGAUUUUUGGGCUACCGCUUGUGAUAACAUGUGAAGUUGGCAUAACAAACAGAACCAUGAUGACAACUAUUCUCGACCACUGAGUAUAAUAACCCAUACAUAAAAGCUAGUGUAAGACUACACACAGGCAAAAACAUCAACCAACAUAAGCACAAUUCAGCAGGGUUUUGCCUAAUAAUGUUACUCUGGUUUUUUCCUAGAACUGCUAUUUAAUAUUUACUGUUAUGAAUUAUUUGUAUGCAGUGUCAAGGAUGUGCCUCUCUUUCCUGAUAUUAUUAAGGUUUUGAUGCUCGUACCUUCUGGUGUUGUUCCUUCAUGGGUGUUGCUACUGAUAUCGUCUCCUUUCCUCUCUCCAUAUGGAAAUAGGUUUUUGUCAAGCCUGUCGUUGAAGGUUAACUCACCAUUGUUAUUUACCUAUUGAAUGAUUCAUUAUCUCUAAUGGAUUGCAUUUCCUUUA